AGAGUUUGAUCAUGGCUCAGGACGAACGCUGGCGGCACGCUUAACACAUGCAAGUCGAACGAGAGAAGAGGAGCUUGCUUUUCUGAUCUAGUGGCGGACGGGUGAGUAACACGUGAGCAAUCUGCCUUUCAGAGGGGGAUACCGAUUGGAAACGAUCGUUAAUACCGCAUAACAUAAUUGAACCGCAUGAUUUGAUUAUCAAAGAUUUAUCGCUGAAAGAUGAGCUCGCGUCUGAUUAGCUAGUUGGUGAGGUAACGGCUUACCAAGGCGACGAUCAGUAGCCGGACUGAGAGGUUGAUCGGCCACAUUGGGACUGAGACACGGCCCAGACUCCUACGGGAGGCAGCAGUGGGGAAUAUUGCACAAUGGAGGAAACUCUGAUGCAGCGAUGCCGCGUGAGGGAAGAAGGUUUUAGGAUUGUAAACCUCUGUCUUCAGGGACGAAAAAAGACGGUACCUGAGGAGGAAGCUCCGGCUAACUACGUGCCAGCAGCCGCGGUAAAACGUAGGGAGCGAGCGUUGUCCGGAAUUACUGGGUGUAAAGGGAGCGUAGGCGGGAUCGCAAGUCAGAUGUGAAAACUAUGGGCUUAACCCAUAAACUGCAUUUGAACCUGUGGUUCUUGAGUGAAGUAGAGGUAAGCGGAAUUCCUAGUGUAGCGGUGAAAUGCGUAGAUAUUAGGAGGAACAUCAGUGGCGAAGGCGGCUUACUGGGCUUUAACUGACGCUGAGGCUCGAAAGCGUGGGGAGCAAACAGGAUUAGAUACCCUGGUAGUCCACGCCGUAAACGAUGAUUACUAGGUGUGGGGGGACUGACCCCUUCCGUGCCGCAGCAAACGCAAUAAGUAAUCCACCUGGGGAGUACGACCGCAAGGUUGAAACUCAAAGGAAUUGACGGGGGCCCGCACAAGCAGUGGAGUAUGUGGAUUAAUUCGAAGCAACGCGAAGAACCUUACCAGGUCUUGACAUCGUAUGCAUAGCUCAGAGAUGAGUGAAAUCUCUUCGGAGACAUAUAGACAGGUGGUGCAUGGUUGUCGUCAGCUCGUGUCGUGAGAUGUUGGGUUAAGUCCCGCAACGAGCGCAACCCUUACUGUUAGUUGCUACGCAAGAGCACUCUAGCAGGACUGCCGUUGACAAAACGGAGGAAGGUGGGGAUGACGUCAAAUCAUCAUGCCCCUUAUGACCUGGGCCUCACACGUACUACAAUGGCUGUCAACAGAGGGAAGCAAAGCCGCGAGGUGGAGCGAACCCCUAAAAGCAGUCUUAGUUCGGAUUGUAGGCUGCAACCCGCCUACAUGAAGUCGGAAUUGCUAGUAAUCGCAGAUCAGCAUGCUGCGGUGAAUACGUUCCCGGGUCUUGUACACACCGCCCGUCACGCCAUGGGAGUCGGUAACACCCGAAGCCUGUAGUCUAACCGCAAGGAGGACGCAGUCGAAGGUGGGAUUGAUGACUGGGGUGAAGUCGUAACAAGGUA
rnacentral:rRNA from 1 species